rnacentral:sRNA from 1 species
AUAAGCUGUACAUUUAAGACUUAGUAGCCUCGACUUAAAGACAAUAGAAAGCAAUCAAUUAUAUAUUACUCCUUCUGUCCCAUAAAGAUAAAUUUUUUAGAAAAAAUAUUUGUCCCACAAAGAUAGAAGUUUUAUAUUUCCAAUGCAAAUUUUAAAACUGUUUUCCCGUUUUACCCUUACUAAUUAGAUAAAUAUUUAUUAUUAUUUUUAAAGUAUAUUAAGAGGUUAAAAUUAUCUUUAUACAAUAUUUCUUAAAGAAUGUGAAAUUUCUAAAAAAUUCAUCUUAGUGGGACGGACGGAAUAGUAUAUUACGACUUAGUUGCUUGGGUUGGGACCACUGUGGUAAGCUCGACGCAGACAUAUGUUUUGACCUUUUUACAUCUCUUUAAUCACAAAACUAGUAUCAUAUAGUAUAUUAGAGAAAGUCCCAUUAUGCGUGGAUGAAACUAAUAUAAUAAAAUUAAAAAAAAUAUAAUAUUCUAAUUAAUGUAUAUUAAAAUAGAUUUAGUUAUUUUCACUUAUACUAAAAA